AAACCGCCCAGAGGUAAACGGGUGGAUCCGCAAAGUCGGCCCGCGGAAUUCAGCGCGGCGCGCAGACCUGGGCGGCUGUGGCCGGGGAUUCCCUGCGGACCCCGCCGCGGCGUCGUUCGGGACUCCGCCGCGUGCACUUUCCGCGGGCAGAGAGCCACAACCGGUUCGGCUGGCGGCUACAAGUCCGCCGGGGUUGUCGGUGGGGGCGCUCGCGUCCCUACCAGCCCUGGCUGUUUUGUUGGCUAGCCGCCGCCGGACCGAGGAUGACAUGUCCGCACGCUUCGAGGCCACCCUCCCCUCCUGGUGAGUCUCGACCGGGAGAGACUGGGCAACCGUGUCUCCCGACCGCUCGCCGGCGAUCGGCGUGGGGCUGGCCGGGCCGUGCCUCAAGGUUGGUGGCAAGCAUGUCGGCAUUCCACCCGACCCGUCUUGAA
rnacentral:rRNA from 1 species